GAUGAACGCUGGCGGCGUGCCUAAUACAUGCAAGUCGAGCGAACGGACGAGAAGCUUGCUUCUCUGAUGUUAGCGGCGGACGGGUGAGUAACACGUGGAUAACCUACCUAUAAGACUGGUAUAACUUCGGGAAACCGGAGCUAAUACCGUAUAAUAUUUUGAACCGCAUGGUUCAAAAGUGAAAGACGGUCUUGCUGUCACUUAUAGAUGGAUCCGCGCUGCAUUAGCUAGUUGGUAAGGUAACGGCUUAUCAAGGCAACGAUGCAUAGCCGACCUGAGAGGGUGAUCGGCCACACUGGAAGUGGACCACGGUCCUGAGGCCUAAGGGAGGCAGCAGAAGGGAAUCUUACGCAGUGGGGGAGAGCAUGACGGAGCAACGGGGCGUGAGUGGUGAAGGUGUUCGGAUCGUAAAACUCUGUUAUUAGGGAAGAACAGAUGUGUAAGUAACUGUGCAGAUAGUGACGGUAACUAAUCAGAAAGCCCCGGCUAACUACGUG
rnacentral:rRNA from 1 species